rnacentral:rRNA from 1 species
CUUAAAUUGAAGAGUUUGAUCAUGGCUCAGAUUGAACGCUGGCGGCAGGCCUAACACAUGCAAGUCGAGCGGUAGCACGGGGGAGCUUGCUCCCUGGGUGACGAGCGGCGGACGGGUGAGUAAUGUCUGGGAAACUGCCUGAUGGAGGGGGAUAACUACUGGAAACGGUAGCUAAUAC